rnacentral:rRNA from 1 species
AGGAUGAACGUUGGCGGCGUGCCUAACACAUGCAAGUCGAACGGUGGUAGCAAUACUACAGUGGCGCACGGGUGAGUAACACGUAGCUUACCUCCCUCUCAGCGCGGGAUAACGACUCGAAAGAGUUGCUAAUACCGCAUAAGCUCACGGUUUCUAGAGGAUUGUGAGAAAAGGUGCAAAUCACUGAGAGACGGGGCUGCGGCCCAUCAGCUAGUUGGGGCGUAAAAGCGCACCAAGGCGACGACGGGUAGGGGACCUGAGAGGGUGACCCCCCACACUGGGACUGAGACACGGCCCAGACUCCUACGGGAGCAGCAGUGAGGAAUAUUGCACAAUGGGCGACAAGCCUGAUGCAGCGACGCCGCGUGGUGAUGAAGGUCUUCGGAUACGUAAAGCCCUUUUCUGCGUGACGAGACAGGACGGUAGCGCGAGGAAUAAGUCGUCGGACUAACUACGUGACCAGCAGCCGA